rnacentral:misc_RNA from 1 species
AAGUCGUAACAAGGUUUCCGUAGGUGAACCUGCGGAAGGAUCAUUAAUGAGAUAGGGUCUUCCAGGCCCGAACCUCCAACCCCAUGUCUACCUACCUUUGUUGCUUUGGCGGGCCCGUGGGGCAACCCACCGCCGGCUCCGGCUGGCCAGCGCCCGUCAGAGGACCUUCAAACUCUUGUUUAUCAGUGACGUCUGAGUACUAUACAAUAGUUAAAACUUUCAACAACGGAUCUCUUGGUUCUG